CUGGUCAAAUACAUAUGUUACACCCACACGCUGUGAACUGUAAGUUCAGCAAUUGAUUUGGUACCUGCACUGGAGUAAUCCAUUCCGUCGUGUACAUUCUAUUGAUGUCCUGGUAGUAUUGCGCAUCUCCUGUAAUCCUUCUUCAACUAAUCAAACCGCAGCGGCCUAAACCUAUGACUUUAUAAGGGGCCUCAGCCCUUCCCCUUCCCAACCAAGUUUGAGCAUUUGAUCUACCACUUUCAAGCUCAAAGCUGG
rnacentral:misc_RNA from 1 species